rnacentral:rRNA from 1 species
AGUGAACGCUGGCGGUAGGCCUAACACAUGCAAGUCGAACGGCAGCACAGGAGAGCUUGCUCUCUGGGUGGCGAGUGGCGGACGGGUGAGGAAUACAUCGGAAUCUACUCUGUCGUGGGGGAUAACGUAGGGAAACUUACGCUAAUACCGCAUACGACCUACGGGUGAAAGCAGGGGACCUUCGGGCCUUGCGCGAUUGAAUGAGCCGAUGUCGGAUUAGCUGGUUGGCGGGGUAAAGGCCCACCAAGGCGAAGGUCCGUAGCUGGUCUGAGGGGAGGAUCAGGCACACUGGAACUGAGACACGGUCCAGACUCCUACGGGAGGCAGGAGUGGGGAAUAUUGGACAAUGGGCGCAAGCCUGAUCCAGCCAUACCGCGUGGGUGAAGAAGGCCUUCGGGUUGUAAAGCCCUUUUGUUGGGAAAGAAAUCCAGCUGGCUAAUACCCGGUUGGGAUGACGGUACCCAAAGAAUAAGCACCGGCUAACUUCGUGCCAGCCGCCGCGGUAA